UCCCUGUGUUGAGGAAGAUAAUGACGGUACUCAACAAGGAAGUGACGGCUAACUACGUGCCAGCAGCCGCGGUAAAACGUAGGUCACAAGCGUUGUCCGGAAUUACUGGGUGUAAAGGGAGCGCAGGCGGGAAGACAAGUUGGAAGUGAAAUCCAUGGGCUCAACCCAUGAACUGCUUUCAAAACUGUUUUUCUUGAGUAGUGCAGAGGUAGGCGGAAUUCCCGGUGUAGCGGUGGAAUGCGUAGAUAUCGGGAGGAACACCAGUGGCGAAGGCGGCCUACUGGGCACCAACUGACGCUGAGGCUCGAAAGUGUGGGUAGCAAACAGGAUUAGAUACCCUGGUAGUCCACACUGUAAACGAUGAUUACUAGGUGUUGGAGGAUUGACCCCUUCAGUGCCGCAGUUAACACAAUAAGUAAUCCACCUGGGGAGUACGACCGCAAGGUUGAAACUCAAAGGAAUUGACGGGGGCCCGCACAAGCAGUGGAGUAUGUGGUUUAAUUCGACGCAACGCGAAGAACCUUACCAAGUCUUGACAUCCUGCGACGGUGCUGGAAACAGUACUUUCCUUCGGGACGCAGAGACAGGUGGUGCAUGGUUGUCGUCAGCUCGUGUCGUGAGAUGUUGGGUUAAGUCCCGCAACGAGCGCAACCCUUAUGGUCAGUUACUACGCAAGAGGACUCUGGCCAGACUGC
rnacentral:rRNA from 1 species